CCCUGGCUGGCUCAGUUGGUGGAGCACGAGGCUCUUGAUCUCAGAGUUGUGAGUUUAAGCCUCAUGUUGGGUG
rnacentral:tRNA from 1 species